AUAUAACGACUCUCGGCAACGGAUAUCUCGGCUCUCGCAUCGAUGAAGAACGUAGCGAAAUGCGAUACUUGGUGUGAAUUGCAGAAUCCCGUGAACCAUCGAGUCUUUGAACGCAAGUUGCGCCCGAAGCCAUCAGGUUGAGGGCAAGUCUGCCUGGGCGUCACGC
rnacentral:rRNA from 1 species